UACGUAGGGUCCGAGCGUUGUCCGGAAUUACUGGGCGUAAAGAGCUCGUAGGCGGCCUGUUGCGUCCGCUGUGAAAUCCCGGGGCUUAACCCCGGGCGUGCAGUGGGUACGGGCAGACUAGAGUGUGGUAGGGGAGACUGGAAUUCCUGGUGUAGCGGUGGAAUGCGCAGAUAUCAGGAGGAACACCGAUGGCGAAGGCAGGUCUCUGGGCCAUUACUGACACUGAGAAGCGAAAGCAUGGGGAGCGAACAGG
rnacentral:rRNA from 1 species